rnacentral:rRNA from 1 species
UACGUAGGGAGCAAGCGUUGUCCGGAAUCAUUGGGCGUAAAGCGCGCGUAGGCGGCCCUGUAAGUCCGUUGUGAAAGUCAAAGGCUCAACCUUUGAAAGCCGAUGGAUACUGCAGGGCUAGAGUCCGGAAGAGGCGAGUGGAAUUCCUGGUGUAGCGGUGGAAUGCGCAGAUAUCGGGAGGAACACCAGUGGCGAAGGCGACUACCUGGCCUGUUUCUUGACGCUGAGGCGCGAAAGCUAGGGGAGCAAACGGG